UACGUAGGGCGCAAGCGUUGUCCGGAAUUAUUGGGCGUAAAGAGCUCGUAGGCGGUCUGUCGCGUCUGCCGUGAAAACCCGAGGCUUAACCUCGUGGCUUGCGGUGGAUACGGGCAGACUAGAGGUAGGUAGGGGAGAAUGGAAUUCCCGGUGUAGCGGCGAAAUGCGCAGAUAUCGGGAGGAACACCGGUGGCGAAGGCGGUUCUCUGGACCGUUGCUGACGCUGAGACGCGAAAGCGUGGGGAGCAAACAGG
rnacentral:rRNA from 1 species